CCUACGUGUGGCUGCAGUGGGGAAUAUUGGACAAUGGGCGAAAGCCUGAUCCAGCCAUGCCGCGUGUGUGAAGAAGGCCUUCGGGUUGUAAAGCACUUUCAGUGGGGAAGAAAGCCUUGGGGCUAAUACCCUCGAGGAAGGACAUCACCCACAGAAGAAGCACCGGCUAACUCCGUGCCAGCAGCCGCGGUAAUACGGAGGGUGCGAGCGUUAAUCGGAAUUACUGGGCGUAAAGCGCGCGUAGGCGGUCUGAUAAGCCGGUUGUGAAAGCCCCGGGCUCAACCUGGGAACGGCAUCCGGAACUGUCAGGCUAGAGUGCAGGAGAGGAAGGUAGAAGUCCCGGUGUAGCGGUGAAAUGCGUAGAGAUCGGGAGGAAUACCAGUGGCGAAGGCGGCCUUCUGGACUGACACUGACGCUGAGGUGCGAAAGCGUGGGUAGCAAACAGGAUUAGAUCCCCCAGUAGUC
rnacentral:rRNA from 1 species